rnacentral:lncRNA from 1 species
CAACUUUGCACAGCAGUCAAGCGAUCACGACAGUGUCCUCCGAGGACCAUCAGAUACACCCGGAUGUGGUGCGUUUGUUAAGCUAUCUGUUCUUGGACCCUGAGACCCUGAAAAACUCUAUUAAAGGGACCAUUGAUAAGUUCCCAACAAGGAUCAGCUGCUAGGGGGAUCGAAGCACGACGAGCUGAGACUCAUUGUUCAACCGUUCAAUGGUGGAUAUCCCGUCUGGAACCGUCAUCUCAGCCUCGGCGUCCAUCCACUGGCGCACUGCCGGACCACAAGCUUCGCUUCGACGCCGGCACGCAGUGCAAUC